rnacentral:rRNA from 1 species
GACGAACGCUGGCGGCGUGCUUAACACAUGCAAGUCGAACGCUGAAGCUCAGCUUGCUGGGUGGAUGAGUGGCGAACGGGUGAGUAACACGUGAGUAACCUGCCCUCUUCUUUGGGAUAACGCCCGGAAACGGGUGCUAAUACUGGAUAUUCACUGAUUCUCGCAUGGGGGUUGGUGGAAAGGUUUUUUCUGGUGGGGGAUGGGCUCGCGGCCUAUCAGCUUGUUGGUGGGGUGAUGGCCUACCAAGGCUUUGACGGGUAGCCGGCCUGAGAGGGUGACCGGUCACAUUGGGACUGAGAUACGGCCCAGACUCCUACGGGAGGCAGCAGUGGGGAAUAUUGCACAAUGGGCGAAAGCCUGAUGCAGCGACGCCGCGUGAGGGAUGGAGGCCUUCGGGUUGUAAACCUCUUUCGCUCAUGGUCAAGCCGCAGCUUUGGGUUGUGGUGAGGGUAGUGGGUAAAGAGGCGCCGGCUAACUACGUG